rnacentral:rRNA from 1 species
CCUACGGGAGGCAGCAGUGGGGAAUAUUGGGCAAUGGGCGCAAGCCUGACCCAGCAACGCCGCGUGAAGGAAGAAGGCCCUCGGGUUGUAAACUUCUUUUAUUCGGGACGAAACAAAUGACGGUACCGAAUGAAUAAGCCACGGCUAACUACGUGCCAGCAGCCGCGGUAAUACGGAGGAUGCGAGCGUUAUCCGGAUUUAUUGGGUUUAAAGGGUGCGUAGGCGGACUGUUAAGUCAGCGGUAAAAGCCCGGGGCUCAACCCCGGCGAGCCGUUGAAACUGGCUGUCUUGAGAUGUCGAGAGGUAUGCGGAAUGCGCAGUGUAGCGGUGAAAUGCUUAGAUAUUGCGCAGAACUCCGAUUGCGAAGGCAGCAUACCGGCGGCGAUCUGACGCUGAGGCACGAAAGCGUGGGUAUCGAACAGGAUUAGAUACCCGAGUAGUC